rnacentral:rRNA from 1 species
UACGUAGGAGGCGAGCGUUGUCCGGAGUUACUGGGCGUAAAGCGCACGCAGGUGGUCAGAUCAGUCUGGAGUGACAGUCGUCGGCUUAACCGACGAAGUGUUCUGGAAACUGUCUGAUUUGAGGGCUUCAGAGGGACACGGAAUUCCGGGUGGAGUGGUGAAAUGCGUAGAUAUCCGGAGGAACACCAAUGGCGAAGGCAGUGUCCUGGGAAGUACCUGACGCUCAGGUGCGAAAGCUAGGGGAGCGAACAGG